AACGAACUCUGGCGGCAUGCCUAACACAUGCAAGUCGAACGAACCCUUCGGGGUUAGCGGCGCCCGGGUGCGUAACGCGUGGGAAUCUGCCCUUAGCUGCGGAAUAACAGGCAGAAAUGACUGCUAAUCCCGGAUGAUGUCUCCGGACCAACGAUUUAUCGGCAAAGGAUGAGCCCGCGUAGGAUUAGGUAGUUGGUGGGGUAAAGGCCUACCAAGCCGACGAUCCUUAGCUGGUAUGAGGAGAUGAUCAGCCAGACUUGGACUGAGACAAGGCCCAGACUCCUACGGGAGGCAGCAAUGCGGAAUAUUGGACAAUGGACGCGAGUCUGAUCCAGCAAUGCCGCGUGAGUGAUGAAGGCCUUAGGGUUGUAAAGCUCUUUUACCAGGGAUGAUAAUGACAGUACCUGGAGAAUAAGCUCCGGCUAACUCCGUGCCAGCCGCCGCAGUAACAC
rnacentral:rRNA from 1 species